UGAACGCUGGCGGUAGGCCUAACACAUGCAAGUCGAACGGCAGCACAGUAAGAGCCUGCUCUUACGGGUGGCGAGUGGCGGACGGGUGAGGAAUACAUCGGAAUCUACUUUUUCGUGGGGGAUAACGUAGGGAAACUUACGCUAAUACCGCAUACGACCUACGGGUGAAAGCAGGGGAUCUUCGGACCUUGCGCGAUUGAAUGAGCCGAUGUCGGAUUAGCUAGUUGGUGGGGUAAAGGCCCACCAAGGCGACGAUCCGUAGCUGGUCUGAGAGGAUGAUCAGCCACACUGGAACUGAGACACGGUCCAGACUCCUACGGGAGGCAGCAGUGGGGAAUAUUGGACAAUGGGCGCAAGCCUGAUCCAGCCAUACCGCGUGGGUGAAGAAGGCCUUCGGGUUGUAAAGCCCUUUUGUUGGGAAAGAAAAGCAGCAGGUUAAUACCCCGCUGUUCUGACGGUACCCAAAGAAUAAGCACCGGCUAACUUCGUG
rnacentral:rRNA from 1 species